ACACUCUCUGUCCCUCCUUAGAGGAGAUCAAGACAUUGAAUCAGUCGCUGCAGGACAAAUCCGCGGAGCUGCAGGACAAAUCCGCAGAGCUGGAGAAACUAAGAAAAGAGAAUGAGGCCUUGGUCUCUGCCAAGGACCCUCCCAACUCUGGGAUCACCCUCCAUCUCUCUGUGGCCACCGUGCUCCUGUCCCUGAGCCUCCUGGCUCUGCUGGUCUGAGGUCCCAGGAAGCCUGCAGGGAAAGCACAUUCUAACCUGGCUGAGAGUUGUACACCCAGGGACAUGGGGAUUAACCUCAGAAUGCAGUCCAGGCUCCUUUUCUGAGAGUUUCCUGUCAUCUUGGAAAGAUAACAACCUGGUCCCAGAGCAGUUGGCAAUCCAUCCUAAUAAACGUUCAUAAAAUUCAA